GGGUGUAUAGCUCAGGGGUAGAGCAUUCAGCUGCAUAUCGAGAAGUAUCCGGUUAAAACCCGGAUGUCCCCU